rnacentral:rRNA from 1 species
GAUGAACGCUGGCGGCGUGCCUAAUACAUGCAAGUCGAGCGAACAGACGAGGAGCUUGCUCCUCUGACGUUAGCGGCGGACGGGUGAGUAACACGUGGAUAACCUACCUAUAAGACUGGGAUAACUUCGGGAAACCGGAGCUAAUACCGGAUAAUAUAUUGAACCGCAUGGUUCAAUAGUGAAAGACGGUUUUGCUGUCACUUAUAGAUGGAUCCGCGCCGCAUUAGCUAGUUGGUAAGGUAACGGCUUUCCAAGGCAACGAUGCGUAGCCGACCUGAGAGGGUGAUCGGCCACACUGGAACUGAGACACGGUCCAGACUCCUACGGGAGGCAGCAGUAGGGAAUCUUCCGCAAUGGGCGAAAGCCUGACGGAGCAACGCCGCGUGAAUGAUGAAGGUCUUCGGAUCGUAAAACUCUGUUAUUAGGGAAGAACAAAUGUGUAAGUAACUAUGCACGUCUUGACGGUACCUAAUCAGAAAGCCACGGCUAACUACGUG